AGAGGCACAUGACAUUCCUCUGAGCAUCCUAAGUACCAGUGUGGCGCUGGCUGACUUCACACCGCAUUCCAUUUCCCUAACCCCGACAGGCUGGUAUCCAUGCUACAGGAAGAGACAGGCCCCAGGGAUAGCUGGCCAUUCCAGAAGAUUCUGCCCAGAGGCAGGGCAGGUGGGAAUGUCUGUCCUGAGUUCUUCCUUCUGAACGAAGAGCUGUCUGUGAACAGGGAGGGAGGAUGUUUUCUCCCUCCCUCCCAUCCAUUCAGAGUAACGUCUUCAGAAGACAAAGUUAAAGCUCAAAGGAUCAAAUGAGUGGUCACUUCAGAUUUUGGAGGAGGCUCCAGGACCAGCCGUGCCUGCCAGUUCCCCUAACCCACAGCCACCCAGCCACAGCGGCCCUCUCCCCUGGGCUCUGGGCUCUUGAAGUUUACACUCAGAGGAAGGUGAUGAAAAAGGCCGCGAUAACCCUCGGGGAGGAGGAAGAAUAUAAACAAGUCUUAGUUCUUCGCCAUUUGCUCAGAGGAAAGCCAUCUUCAGGCUUUCUGGAGUGUGGUAUGUUUAUCCCAGCUACACAGAUCCACUCCUUUAAAUCAAACACUCUGCUGGUGCCUCGGAGUUGUAAAUCAGUGGGUCUUUUCAAGUGACUUCAUAGAAUGUGAUAUUCUGCUUUCCCCUGACAGGAUAUAAACACGGAAACCUAAAUAUUAUAAUCCAGGCCACCAUGGGCAGACUAGGAGGCAUGUCGAUUCCAGUUGCUCUACGGUGCCUCCUUGCCCCUUGUAGCACCUCGCUGUGCGUGGCCAGUGCUCAUUCUCUUUACCGACUUGGAAGAGAAGUUGAAACUUGUUUUGUAGAAUGAUGUGGAAAUUUUGCUCAGAACUGUUUGCAGCUGAGACACUCUGAGAACUGUGAGUAAAAGAAUGUCUCUGGAGGGGUACUGGGCUGCCAGUAUCCUAGCAUUGGCCAUUCUGUCCCUCGCCAUCCGAGUGACCACAGGCAUAGUACUCAACAAUCAAACAAGAUCGGUGUGAAAUAUGCCUACAGUAAUUAGAAUAAGAGAAAAUGCUUAGUCACCGAAUAGCCGAUGUCUUACCUUAAAAAAAGUCAGAAUUUCAUCUGCGUAAAAUUAGCUGACCGUAAACUCAUAAUCACCUGGAGGAACGUUUUCAAAGAUGAGUGAAUUUGUUAUCUUGUUGCUGAGACAAAAACACGAGAGAAGUAAUACAGAGUAAGAAUCAGUGUUGGCUCAUAGUUUAUAGGGACAUAGUCACCAUGUCUGGAAAAGCAUGGGCAUGGGAAGAGGAUUGUGUAGCCAUGGGGGCAUGGAGGGCCUUGGGCCUAGUAGGUGCCAAGCCAUACUCCUUAAAGGCUUCAUCCUUAAAGGCUCAUCUAGGGCCUUUGCUAGCCAUGCCUCCUGCUCCAAAGAGUCUACAACUUCCUGAAAUAAGUGUGCAAACUCAUGAGUCUGUGGAGGGAUGUUUUACACCCAAACCAUGGCAACAAAUUUCACGUUUUUAGCUGCAUAAACAAAUAUUAUGUGUUCAUGGUGGGAAUUUGAGGAACAAAAAGAUAAAAAGAAAAAUACACAUCUGUAGGUUCUGUUUAGGAAGAGAGACUUAUUUAAAGACAGUUUUAUUUGGUCAGGGUCCCUUCAGUGUGCAUGCCCUCUACUCUCCACCUCUCUCAUGAUGGGGACCUGUAGUCCGUCUCAUGGCCUUCUUUUUUUUUUAAAUUAAUUUUUAAUUUAUGGUGUGAAUGUAUUGUCUGCAUUGGCCCAUGGAGGUCAGAAGGGGGCAUCAGAUCUCUGGGACUGGA